rnacentral:lncRNA from 1 species
GGGCCUGCGCGGCAGCGGCGCCGAGGCCCAAAGACGCGUCCCCCACACCUGUCCUGGGUGUCCCGCGUUGCAAAGCUCUCCCUCCUCAUAGUCUGGUGGCGCCUAUCGUGCAGUCUAGGGCCAAAUUAAAAAAAAAUAAUAAAGAAAGUAAUUAAAAUAGUCCCAUAGCCGGUUCCCCCGAAAGCCGUGUGCCAGGCAGGUGGUUGAGGUGCGGUGCCAGGUUGGGCCCUGGCUCUGCUGGGCUGAGGGAUGAGAUUGAUCAUGCGCUUGCAGAGGAUAAAACCUGGUAUUUGAGGUUAAUAAGAACAGCCUUACUGAACCGGGGAGAAAGUUCUAGCACAGUCUAGGCCUGUGUUUUGUCUCUGUAACUGUCUUGUCCGUGACGGUAACAAACAGCAGGUGCCUGGGGAAAGCUGUGACCUGAUGUUACUGAGGACACUGAAGAGGAUCAAAGCUGUGACAGUGGCUUGAAAGAAAGCAAGGCUGUAUCAUCUCCAGGUUGGAAGCAGUCUUCAUAUAUUACUUGAGAGAAGCCAGGACUGUGACCAUCUGAAACAGUGCCAAAAGGAAAAGCUGCUUUUUUGAGGAGAACACAAAUCCUGCUGAUCAGCAGUCACAGGACUUGAAAAAAAAGACAAAGUUUUUCUGUGACACUGAAGCAAGACCGCAAUUCACGUGUUGCUGCUCCAAUAAUCGCUGUCACUUUUGUAAGGUGUAUUAUCUUGCAAAGGAGUUAGCUUGCCAGGUGUGGUCUACACCCACACAGAUCUAAUGACCAUAUACUUUAAAGAGAAGGAUAUUUCAAUAGAUCAGUUAAAAACUUGAUUGCACAAUUUUUACAAGGAUGCUCUAUGACUGCUAGAGCCUCCCGUUUUUUCGUGUAACUAUAUAACUUAUCUGCAUAGUUCCUUUGUUGACUCAGCUUUUAAUCAGCAUUAAAAGAACGAGGUCUUCACGUUCUGUAUGUUGUGCAAGGAAUGACAAUGUCUGCCUUCUGGUUAACGUGUAUGUUCUGGAAUAACCAGAAAUACUAGUAUGCAAGGUGCUGCACCUAAUCACACAGCUAAAAAGCUAGCUAGAGUGCCAGCUAAUGCUAAUGUAUUUGAUAUUUUUCUUUGAAUAUAAAUACACUUAUCUAUAAUGGUUUUAAAAAUACAGCAGAGCUAUUUAAAUCAAAACAGCAUUAAACUUUUUUGAAGAAAUCACAAACCACUUUAAUCUUCCAUAAAAAAAAUCAUAGAUCAUCUUGUGUUGCUU